AAUGAGGAGUUGAGUUGUUGCUGGCCUCUGGGGAUUAGUUUCUCCAAGGCAUGUGCACACCUUCUCUUUCAUCCACACACCCCUGUGCACUUGUGAGACAGUAAGGUUUCUUUUUUUGGGGGGCCUUGCUGUCUACUUAAUCUACACACACUUCUAUUUAUUUUAAAACAGAAUGUAAUUGAUGUAACGCAUCUAAUACUAAGUUUCAACAACGGAUCUCUUGGCUCUCGCAUCGAUGAAGAACGCAGCGAAAUGCGAUAAGUAAUGUGAAUUGCAGAAUUCAGUGAAUCAUCGAAUCUUUGAACGCACCUUGCGCUCCUUGGUAUUCCUUGGAGCAUGCCUGUUUGAGUAUCAUGAAAUCUUCAAAGUAAACCUUUUUUGUUAAUUCAAUUUAGGUCUCUUACUUUGGUCUUGGAGGUUAUUGCAGCUUCACACCUGCUCCUCUUUGUGCAUUAGCUGGAUCUCAGUGUUAUGCUUGGUUCCACUCAGCGUGAUAAGUUAUCUAUCGCUGAGGACACUGGUAAAAAGGUGGCCAAGGUAAACGCAGAUGAACCGCUUCCAAUAGUCCAUUGACUUGGACAAUU
rnacentral:rRNA from 1 species